CAGGCUUAACACAUGCAAGUCGAGGGGCAUCAGGAAGAAAGCUUGCUUUCUUUGCUGGCGACCGGCGCACGGGUGAGUAACACGUAUCCAACCUGCCCUUUACUCGGGGAUAGCCUUUCGAAAGAAAGAUUAAUACCCGAUAGCAUAAUGAUUCCGCAUGGUUUCAUUAUUAAAGGAUUCCGGUAAAGGAUGGGGAUGCGUUCCAUUAGGUUGUUGGUGAGGUAACGGCCCACCAAGCCUUCGAUGGAUAGGGGUUCUGAGAGGAAGGUCCCCCACAUUGGAACUGAGACACGGUCCAAACUCCUACGGGAGGCAGCAGUGAGGAAUAUUGGUCAAUGGGCGCUAGCCUGAACCAGCCAAGUAGCGUGAAGGAUGAAGGCUCUAUGGGUCGUAAACUUCUUUUAUAUAAGAAUAAAGUGCAGUAUGUAUACUGUUUUGUAUGUAUUAUAUGAAUAAGGAUCGGCUAACUCCGUGCCAGCAGCCGCGGUAAUACGGAGGAUCCGAGCGUUAUCCGGAUUUAUUGGGUUUAAAGGGAGCGUAGGUGGACUGGUAAGUCAGUUGUGAAAGUUUGCGGCUCAACCGUAAAAUUGCAGUUGAUACUGUCAGUCUUGAGUACAGUAGAGGUGGGCGGAAUUCGUGGUGUAGCGGUGAAAUGCUUAGAUAUCACGAAGAACUCCGAUUGCGAAGGCAGCUCACUGGACUGCAACUGACACUGAUGCUCGAAAGUGUGGGUAUCAAACAGGAUUAGAUACCCUGGUAGUCCACACAGUAAACGAUGAAUACUCGCUGUUUGCGAUAUACAGUAAGCGGCCAAGCGAAAGCAUUAAGUAUUCCACCUGGGGAGUACGCCGGCAACGGUGAAACUCAAAGGAAUUGACGGGGGCCCGCACAAGCGGAGGAACAUGUGGUUUAAUUCGAUGAUACGCGAGGAACCUUACCCGGGCUUAAAUUGCAGUGGAAUGAUGUGGAAACAUGUCAGUGAGCAAUCACCGCUGUGAAGGUGCUGCAUGGUUGUCGUCAGCUCGUGCCGUGAGGUGUCGGCUUAAGUGCCAUAACGAGCGCAACCCUUAUCUUUAGUUACUAACAGGUUAUGCUGAGGACUCUAGAGAGACUGCCGUCGUAAGAUGUGAGGAAGGUGGGGAUGACGUCAAAUCAGCACGGCCCUUACGUCCGGGGCUACACACGUGUUACAAUGGGGGGUACAGAAGGCAGCUAGCGGGUGACCGUAUGCUAAUCCCAAAAUCCUCUCUCAGUUCGGAUCGAAGUCUGCAACCCGACUUCGUGAAGCUGGAUUCGCUAGUAAUCGCGCAUCAGCCACGGCGCGGUGAAUACGUUCCCGGGCCUUGUACACACCGCCCGUCAAGCCAUGGGAGCCGGGGGUACCUGAAGUACGUAACCGCAAGGAUCGUCCUAGGGUAAAACUGGUGACUGGGGC
rnacentral:rRNA from 1 species